CAUGCUUGUCAUGCCUGACAAACAUCUACCAAAUUAACACUCAAAGUUAGAAAAAGCUGAGUGUUGUACUUGUUAUUCGCAACACCAAAAGACAAAACACCAUUUACUCCUUGCAUAUACUCCUAAACUCCAUUCUUCGCAUAGUCAGCUUCAAUCAACUAACAAUCAACUAAGUUCUUUGCAUAUCAUCCAAAAGAGACUUCAUUGCAUCGCCAACAUUAAAAGAUCUUUGCAUAGCCAUAUCAAAAAAAAAACCUUUGCACACUCCCAAAAGCCUUUAGCCGCCGAGGUCACUUCAUGCUUCAACAAAUGGCUGCUGAUAAAAUGGAGUAUUAGUGUCACACACUAAUUACGGAAGUUAAGUGGAAGGGAUUAUCCAUUGGACGUUUUUGUUAACUCAUGUGGUGUAGAAUAGCAUCUUAGUCUCAUAGCUUCUCAUUCUGAAGGUGGUCGGUGGCAGCUAACGAAGAACAAAAAGAAAACCUGGAGUUAAAGGAGAAGAGAAAGAGUCAUAUUUAAAUAAUAAACUUGAGAAGCUUCAGAAACAGUAGACUAAAAUUCACAACACCAUUCAUGCUCUGUAGAAAGCCGAGGUUUGCUAAAAGCUCUUGCUUUAUUUUACAAAAUUUCGGCUCUUGUUAGAUAAUUUUGACAACUAGAAUGUAUAUUCAAGAAUAAAUGAGUCCAAUUAAAAGCUGCAAUCUGCUUAAAACAACUGCCAAAUGUAUAUGAAGUUGAAUGCGAUCAAUAGUAGCGUACUUUUAUUGAUUUAGUUACUGUUACUGUCAGGUAUAUUUCCAUUUCUUAGAAUUGUUAAAGAAAUGUAAUGUAAAUAAGUUGAUAUCAUUAGAAAACAUUACUGUAUUACCGAAACUAAAGUAUG